GAGAGAGAGAGGAUUACAUAGAGCAAUGAAGAGGGUCUUUCGGGAAAUCAAUCAAAAUGGUCAAUAAAUAGUGGAUGGUACUACAUUGAUCGAGAAGGAAACUAAGAAAGUAGUGGGGACAAAUAUAAUUUUUGUUUGUAAUUUUGGAUGAAAGUUGAAGAAAAGGAGGGUGACAUUGGAUGGAGUGGAGCCAAGAGAGUCAAGUUUCUUUAUGGUGAGAGUAAUUUUAUAUUUAAUUCAUCCUAACCAAAAAAGAUUUGUUUUUUUUUCUCGAUUGUCACAUUGCCACCUUGAUUGAUUUGAACAUAGCAGUGUUAAAUGACAUUAUUCUUAAAUUUUAAACUAACACAUCCAUAUUUUCUAAAGAUUUUCUAAAUUGUCUAUUAAUAUUUAAUAAUUCAAUCUAAUUCUGGUUCAAAAUUUAAAUUUCUUAAAUAUUAUAUGUCAACCUUGCUUUUUCAUCCCAUUACUACCACUAUCGUCCUUUCCAUUUUCCAAACCCUUCAUCAAAUCUCAAAUUACUCUUUUUAAACAAGGGUAAAUUAGUCAUCAUUCUAUCCUCCAUAGUGGAAAUAAACCCCCACAACCACUUUCCCUUUCACCAUUUUCAUGAAACCUAACUCUCCCAGACCCUGCUCUACAUCACUCUACCCACGUCACCUCUCUUUCUUACCUCCAUUUUUCAUACAAAAUUACAAACAAUUUUUUUUUUCCACCUCUUUCUUUGGGUACGUUACAUGCCCUGUCUCUAGUCCGAUCAAUGUAAUCACAUCAACAGAAUGACAAGUUGUGUUCCUUGACCUUUUGACUAAUUUCUAGGGAGUCCCCUCCCUUACGAAUGGCAACGAACUGAGCCGAGCCGGCUCGUAAGUCAAAAAUCAAGGCUCGAUCUUUUUUAAGAGCCUUACCGAGCCAAAACUGGCCGAACCGAGCCAGAUCGUCCCCCCCCCCUCCCUCCCCUUUUUUUUCUCCUCCUCCUUAAAAGACAAUUGAUAGCUGCCUUUAUUUAAAGGCAGCUACCAACUGCCUUUAUUUAAGGCAAUUGGCUGCCUUUGUAAAGGCAGCCUACUGUUACAGAGGCAGCAGCUUGCUGCCUUUUAACAUUUUUUUUUUUUUUUUUGUGACGAGCCGGCCCGCAAGCCACAUGGGCAGGCUCGGGCUCGGCCCGAGAUAGGCUUGGUUUGAUCAAGCCUCGAGCCGAGCCGGCUCGAGCUUUUUCCGGGACAAGCCAUGGGCGGUCCGAGCCCUCGAGCUUUUUUGCCAUCCCUACACUCCCUUUUUUGCCACGUAAAAUACACUCUUCUAUACAGAGGGCUCUAAUUUUGGUUGAGUGGUAAAUGUUGAAAGUUUAUUGUUAGAAUUUUGUGAAAGUUAUCGAAACUGGAGAGUGAAGGGGGUGCUUCAAAUGUGAGAUCAAGGCAUCAAAUAAAUCUGAAUGAAGCUUCAAUUUCAUCACUUGAUGAAGCUGAAGACAAAAUUAAUGGUUCCGAUCUACGGCUCUGUUUACAAAAAAGAUUAUAGAUGUUUUGAGUGCUUGGUAAAAAAAUGGCGGGAGUGAAUUAGUUUUCGACAUCAACGCUUCUCCGUGCGAGGCGAAGAAACAAAACGAGCGAAAUUUGACGGAACUAGCGAGACCCACAAAUGGAUUGUUUAUAUGAAAAUUGAGAACAAGUUAAAUUGAG
rnacentral:lncRNA from 1 species